rnacentral:rRNA from 1 species
UACAGAGGUCCCUAGCGUUGUUCGGAUUUACUGGGCGUAAAGGGCGCGUAUGCUGCGCGGCGUGUCAAGUGUGAAAUCUCCGGGCUCAACCCGGAAAGUGCGCUUGAAACUACCGUGCUGGAGGCCGGGAGAGGGAAUCGGAAUACAUGGUGUAGCGGUGAAAUGCGUUGAUAUCCUGUAGAACACCGGAGGCGAAGGCGGAUUCCUGGAACGGCACUGACGCUGAGGCGCGAAAGUCGGGGGAGUAAAC